rnacentral:lncRNA from 1 species
AUGGACUUCGUGAGGCUUGCUUGGCUCUUCUCCAGCCCCCGCCCCGUGAGACUGUCCAUCCUGCACCACCUUGACCCUCUCAGAGCCAGGUGGGCUGGAGACAGGGCCGCAGGGUGGGUUCGGCCAGUGCCAGCAGCCUUCUCCAGCUCUCUCUCUCAGCUGCCCCUCGGCUCGCAGAGCCAGAAGAACACAGGCAGCCUCAGCUCUGACCCCGGCCAGCCCAGCCCCACAGCCACCCAGGAGGAAGGGGAGGAAGAGAGCUUUGGGACUCUCUCCAACAAAUACUCCUCUCGGAGAGUGUUCCACAAAUCGACGGCGCAGCUGUAUAACCUGCGGCUCAAGGAACAGAAUACUGAAGAAGAUGAGGAAGGGGAGCUGGAACCAAAACCAUGGCGGGGCCCCAGAAACACCCCUUACUGGUACUUCUUUCAGUGCAAACGCCUGAUCAGGGAAGGAAAGCUGGCCGAGGCCCUGGACCUGUUUGAGAGGCAGAUGCUGAAGGAGGAGCGCCUGCAGCCCCUCGAGUGCAACUACACGGUGUUGAUCGGGGGCUGCGGGCGGGCUGGCUACCUGAAGAAGGCCUUCAGGCUCUACAACGACAUGAAGAAGCGGGACUUGGAGCCCUCAGACGCCACCUACACAGCCCUGUUCAACGUGUGCGCUGAGUCCCCUUGGAAGGACUCCGCACUGCAGAGCGCCUUGAAGCUACGGCAGCAGCUUCAGGCCAGAAACUUCCAGCUCAACUUGAAAACGUACCACGCCCUGCUAAAGAUGGCUGCCCUGUGCGCGGACCUUAGGAUGUGCCUGGAUGUGUUUAAGGAGAUCAUCCAGAAAGGGCACGUGGUCACAGAGGAGACCUUCAGUUACCUGCUCAUGGGCUGCAUCCAGGACAAGAAGACUGGCUUCCGGUACGCCCUGCAGGUGUGGAGGCAGAUGCUGAGUCUGGGGCUCCAGCCAAGCCAGCACGGCUACAACCUGCUGUUGGGGGCAGCUCGGGACUGCGGGCUGGGGGACCCGGCAGUGGCCUCAGCAGUGCUCCUGAGGCCCAGGGAGGAGAUAGCCCUGCUCCAGCCCCCGGCUAGGGGGCAGCAGGCCAGGAGGAGGGCCCAGGUCGGGGCGGACCGCACCCUGUCAGCCAAGCUGCACGUGGAGGCCCUGGAGAGGCAGCUGUUUCUGGAACCUUCUCAGGCACUUGAGGGGCCUCAGGCCAGAGCCCCCGAGCAGGCCCAGUCUGCGUUGGAGACCAAGGCGGAGCCCGAUCGCAUGGUGGGCCUCACCUCUGUGGCCCCAGAGCCGCCUCCCUGGGGGCUGGAGGUCAACCUCCUGACCCCGGGGGCGGCCCCCUUGGCUGUGGUCUCCUUUGGGACCGUGAGCACCCCCGCUGACAGACUGGCCUUGAUGGGGGGCCUGGAGGGCUUCCUCGGCAAUAUGGCGAAGCACGGGCUUAGCCCUGACAUCAAAACCUUCACGCUGCUGGCGGAGGUGGUGGAGCCAGGGAGCCCCGCAGAGUCCUCGCUGCUGAGCAUCCUGGACGCGCACGGGGUGGAGGCCGACCUGACCUUCUUCAACACGUUGAUGAGGAAGAAGAGCAAGCUGGGCGACCUGGAGGGGGCAAAGGCCCUGCUGCCCGUCCUGGCAAAGAGGGGCAUUGUCCCCAACCUGCAGACGUUCUGCAGCCUGGCCAUCGGGUGUCGCAGGCCAGAUGACGGCCUGCAUCUGCUCUCGGACAUGAGGAAAUCCCAGAUGAGCCCCAACGCCCACAUCUACAGCACCCUCAUCAACGCGGCCGUCAAGAAGCUGGACUACGCCUAUCUCAUCGACAUCCUGAAGGACAUGAGGCAGAACAGAGUCCCCGUGAACGAAGUGGUCAUCCGCCAGCUGGAGUUCGCAGCCCAGUACCCACCCAGCUUUGACCGGUACAAGGGGAAAAACACCUACUUGGAGAAGAUUGAUGGCUUCCGGGCUUAUUACAAGCAGUGGCUGAAAGGGAUGCCAGCGGAGGAAACCCCCCACCCGUGGCAGAAGUUCCAGACGAAGCCAAAAGGAGACCAGGACACCAUCACUGAGGCUGAUAUGGACAAAGGCCCUGGGGGCAGGUGAGGAGGAGGUCCUAGGGGACCCCCAGCAGAGCUGGAACAAAGUGCACAGCCUUCAUGGGGCUCUGUGGGAACCCCAAGAGUCUCCUUCACAUGAAAGACACUGAACGUGCCGGGGCAGCUGCAAGCACGAGGGAAAGUCCAGGAUCAGAGUUUCAACUUAGGCAUCAGUCUGAGGACGAAUGCUGGCCCAGGUGCCUAACAAGUUCGUGGCAAGUGCCAGAGCAGUGUGGGCCACCCCGGUCCGUCAUCCCAGGCCAUCCCCAUCCGAGGGUGACGACGAAGGGGGUGAGUUCGCUCCAGGUCACAGCACGGAUGAGGAGGAGUCGGGAUUGAGUCCUAAGAGCGACUAGUCUCCGGGGCCUGGUGUUGUCCCCCUGGAUGCCAGAUCGCCGGC